GACGAACGCUGGCGGCGUGCUUAACACAUGCAAGUCGAACGGAAAGGCCCUGCUUUUGUGGGGUGCUCGAGUGGCGAACGGGUGAGUAACACGUGAGUAACCUGCCCUUGAUUUUGGGAUAACUUCAGGAAACUGGGGCUUAUACCGGAUAGGAGCUCCUGCUGCAUGGUGGGGGUUGGAAAGAUUCGGCGGUUGGGGAUGGACUCGCGGCUUAUCAGCCUGUUGGUGGGGUAGUGGCCUACCAAGGCUUUGACGGGUAGCCGGCCUGAGAGGGUGACCGGCCACAUUGGGACUGAGAUACGGCCCAGACUCCUACGGGGGGCAGCAGUGGGGAAUAUUGCACAAUGGGCGGAAGCCUGAUGCAGCAACGCCGCGUGCGGGAUGACGGCCUUCGGGUUGUAAACCGCUUUCGCCUGUGACGAAGCGUGAGUGACGGUAAUGUGUAAAGAAGCACCGGCUAACUACGUG
rnacentral:rRNA from 1 species